GCAGUCGUGGCCGAGUGGUUAAGGCAAAAGACUUGAAAUCCAUUGGGGUCUCCCCGCGCAGGUUCGAAUCCUGCCGGCUGCG
rnacentral:tRNA from 1 species